GGUUCUCUAUCUGGAGGUUAUUCCUCUUGUAGUCCUUCCACAAGCCCAGGACAUGGAUCACUAUGGGAGGAUUGUCUUUGAAUGGUAGAACAUUGCACAAGAGAUUUCUCAUAUCGCUACAGAAGAAGAAAAAACAAAUGGCUGUAUUCUAAAAGUGGCCAGACAUAGAAACAAUAGGUAGGUGACCAUAUGUCUUCUGCGGACACUUUCAAAAUUUGCCUGGACCAAGGGCCAAGAAUCCCUUCCCCUUUCCCUUUCCAGCAUUUUCAUAUAAUCUCCCUCAAUCUAAUCCCUAUCCUGCCCAUCCCACUAAAACUAUCUUCGCAAUAAUCUCUGGUUUGACAGUGGUCUUGUUAAUGGGUACGUUCUUGUAAUUCUCCUGUCAGUUUGCUUUCUUUCCUAUGUUUACAUUCCUCAUCCCCUUCCACACCACACCACAGCAGCCUCUCCUUCUGGACCCUAUCUUCAUCACCCUGGCUCCGCUGGAUGACUGUGGCGUUGCACCUGUUGACCACAGCUAGGACUGGGGGCACCUACUGCACCCAGUUUGUCCAUCCUGACAAACAGCUUGGAUCAUUCUGCUGCUUAACAGUGAAACUACUGAGACUUAAAAAAGAAGAUUUGGUAUGUUCAGUGUCAAGUGUAAGAAGGCAUCAAUAUCAGAUAGGGAGUAGGAAUGUUUUUAGAAGGUGAGCAAAGUAGUCUUGUAUUUUCAGGCAAAUUUAUAAAAUUGCGCAUUCUGGUAUUUGCAUACUUCAUAUUCAGAGAAAAUACAUCUGAUGUUAUAUUGGCUCAAACUAAAUCAUGCUAUGCAGGCAGUGAUAUACGCACUUCAUGCAUAUUUGCUCGAAAUUAAGCUCCAGUGUAAACUCUGUAUUAAAAUUGUGUCUGUCAUAUGAAGUGACAUUGAAUAUGUAGUUUUCAUAAGAAGAUGAAUUAUUUUUACCAGUUCUUAUGAAUUUUCAAGUGGUAUCAUCUGAUGUGCCAUCUACAUCUGGUAUCUGAGAAAUCUUUGAAAGAAUUUAAACAGAAAGAUGCACCUUAAAUCUGAUUUACUUCCAAUUUACUGAAAAAGAUACUGACCACUAGGAUUCUGUGACUUCAUUUUUACUGACAUAAGAUGUUUAUGCAAGUGAAGUUUAUGGCAUGAAGUUCUAUAUUAAGAAGCACAGUUUCUAGAUUAGUCUACAUAGAUAAAAGUAAUUUUAAAAACUGAAACUGCCAGUGUUCCUUUGGAAAAAACUUCCAGUUUUGCUGUGGGUUCACUGACAAUUACAUAGACAGUAUCUUGACCACAGAUGCUUGGUGUUUAUGUUUCCUGAACAAGAUCCAAUUAAAAGCUUACCAUCUGUCAUAAAUCUUUGUCUCCAUGCAGCUUCCAAUGCAAGUGACGUACAUUAGCAUUCAAACCUCAGCCUGUCUUUCAUUCACCAUUGUCAAGAAAUCAAGACAUUCUUUUACUAGGAAUUUUUCAAAAAGUCUAUAGUUAGUUUGUUUUAUGGAGAUUUAUCUAGCUAUAUCUGAGGCUCAAAGGUUCUUAAAGAAGCUUGGAAUGGAACUUGGUAUAUUCAAACCGCAUUGAUAAUCCCACUGCAGAUUUGGCAGAUCUGAGGGUCAAUUGGAUUUUCCUAGUAAAAUACUGACUGGAUUUCUGUCAAUUUCAGAAAAUUAUUGUAAAUGAAAAUUAUUUGGAUCUGGAAGAGUGCAAGAUAUUUUAUAAGUAUUUUUUAUAGACGGGGACUUCUUGGUGCUGCAGACAAAAAUUAGCAUUUAUUUUAUGUAAAAUAAAUACUAAAAGUUAGAACUAUAUAUAUGCACACAUAUGCUUUUUCUAAAAAACGGGGUGGGGGGUGCGGGGGAGGGUUGUUUGCUUGCUUAUUUGUU